rnacentral:rRNA from 1 species
UACGGAGGGUGCAAGCGUUAUCCGGAUUUACUGGGUUUAAAGGGCGUGCAGGCGGUCUGAUAAGUUCGGCGUGAAAUAUUCCGGCUUAACCGGGAUAGGUCGUCGGAGACUGUCGGACUAGAGGGUGAUAGAGGCGUGUGGAAUUCCGGGUGUAGUGGUGAAAUGCGUAGAGAUCCGGAGGAACACCAGUGGCGAAGGCGACACGCUGGGUCACACCUGACGCUAAAGCGCGACAGCAUGGGGAGCGAACGGG